rnacentral:tRNA from 1 species
AAUGAAGUGCCUGAGAAAAGGGUUAUUUUGAUAGAAUAAAU